GGAUAUGAGGAUGAUCUGGCUGUGACAUCUGUCACGUUAGCGAUGGCCAGGGUUGAUUUGGCUAGUUCAGCUGAUGAGACAGCUGUUCCCUUUUCCUUCCUUAUUGCUCC
rnacentral:sRNA from 1 species